rnacentral:rRNA from 1 species
CUUGGUCAUUUAGAGGAAGUAAAAGUCGUAACAAGGUUUCCGUAGGUGAACCUGCGGAAGGAUCAUUACAAGUGAGGCUACCGAACGUUGGAAACAGCGGUUAGGAGCUUACACCCACCCGUGUUUACAUACUAUUGUUGCUUUGGCGGGCCGUGGCCUCCACUGCGGGCUCUGCUCGUGUGUGCCCGCCAGAGAACCAAACUCUGAAUGCUAGUGAUGUCUGAGUACUAUCUAAUAGUUAAAACUUUCAACAACGGAUCUCUUGGUUCUGGCAUCGAUGAAGAACGCAGCGAAAUGCGAUAAGUAAUGUGAAUUGCAGAAUUCAGUGAAUCAUCGAAUCUUUGAACGCACAUUGCGCCCUGUGGUAUUCCGCAGGGCAUGCCUGUUCGAGCGUCAUUUAACCACUCACGCCUAGCGUGGUAUUGGGGCACGCGGUCUCCGCGGCCCUCAAAAUUAGUGGCGGCGCCGGUGGGCUCUAAGCGUAGUACAUACUCCCGCUAUAGAGUUCCCCCCGGUGGCUCACCAGAACCCCCAAUUUUUUACAGGUUGACCUCGGAUCAGGUAGGGAUACCCGCUGAACUUAAGCAUAUCAAUAAGCGGAGGA